CCCUGUGCCUCUCGCCACCUCUCCCAUCACUGGCCAUCGUCGUCGCCGCGGGCCCUCAUCCCGCCUUCAUCUACCUAUCUCUAUAUAUUGCAACUCUCUUUGCCGCCAUCUCCAUAAACACACACGCUCGGACACACACACACACACACAGAGAGACACACGGGCACCAGUGCGCGCUUCGGCACAUCCGAUAAGAACCGUCUAACAAGCCAAGGCGCAAGACGUGGUCUGUGUGCACAGACACCGCACACACGCACGCGCACAUCUUCGCCCCGUCAAAAAGACGCCCGGAUCACGGACACCACUGCUCUCAUCACUUCCUUUUCUAGUUUCAUUGUCCUCUCAUCAGCCCAAACAAGGCACACGGCGAGGUCCAGCGACCAAGUCAGUAGCGGCGUCUGCGCGCACGCCUUUAGGCGUGCCUUUAGCGUCUUUUGCCAGCGAAGGGUGCUCCGCUCCCUUAGUCGCGCGCGCGCACACACACACACGCUCACACCACGAUUGGGUCACGCAUGCGUGCGCUGUACGCAUGGAAAUGUGUUGAAGUGACUCUUAACGCUUCUUGCUGAUCUCCCCCUUCCUCCUCUCUCUCUUUCGCUUACUGGAGGUUGCGAUCGAAGCUGUUGUGGUCGUGCAGCUUCUUUGUUGUUUGCUUUCUCAUUAUCUCUCAUCAUCACCUCUCAUCACCACCUCUAUAUCUAUAUACAUAUACGCAAAUCUCGUUUUUGUUGCUGUGUGCGUGCGUGCGCGCUCGUGUGUGGGUUCCGGGACGUGGGCUAGCGGCCGGAUCAGUUUCGUGUACGCACCCCCGUGUACGUAAGGAGGGCACAUACACACACAGACCGAUCCCCAACGACACAGGAAACAAAGGAGAAAAGGAAAAGGAGGAGGAGAGGGCCUUUACAAGAGGUCAGCGGCGAAAAAGGAACGACACACAGCCGCCUUUGGUGGACGCUGUGUCUGUUGCUCUGUCGUGUGCGUUUAUUUCAUUGCUGCUGCUUCUCUCCCUCGCCGUGUCGUUGGUCUGUCUCUUCUCUCUUCGAGUGGCGGCUCUCUCGUUUUCGUGCGUUGCCGCGCAUACGCGCAUUUUCCGUGUUGAGCUGCGCUGUGUGUGUUGUGCGGUCUUGCAUCGGUUAUCUCUUUCUUCGUCUGUUGCUUUUUGUUUUCUGUGUGCUCAUUCAUUCUCUUCUGUCGUCGGCACCGUCGGUUCUUGGUUGUGGUGUGUGCGUGUUUGGGUUUUGGUGCGCGCGCGCUACUGGCUUCCACCGCGUCUGUUUCUUUUUUCCUUUGUGUUUUGCAUUCUCUCACGCACACGCGCUCCAUCUCUUCCUGCCCUCGUGGCGAUUCGUUGCCGCUUGGCCUUCGCACGCUUGCGGUCCUCGCCACUUGGCGUCUUCCUCCCCUCCCCUCUCCUCCGCGGCGGUUUUUUCUAACCGCAUCUGUGCCUUUUACGCUCCCUCCUUGCUUCGCGUGCUCACGGUCAUUUCUCUCUUUUUUUUUCUCCCUUUCCCUCAACUCGGUGUGCGGGCGUGUGUGUGCGUGGACGUAGGGCCUGAUCAGCUAUCCUGCUCACUCGUUGUCGCGGUUGUCGCCUGCCAUGCUGGAAAAGUACAUUGCGGCACUGUUGGUGCCGUACUUGUCUAAAUACGUUGAGAACAUCAACGAGGACAAGCUCAAGGUCAACAUAUGGAGUGGGAAGGCGACGCUAAAUGAUCUCGUGCUCCGCCCGGAGGCGCUGGAUGCGCUGCUGAACUCCGCGGCCAACGAGAGCGACGACUGCAGCUGUGAAGCGUCCGGCGACGUCGCGGCGUCGCCGAAGUCGAAGCCGAAAAAGCCUCUGCUGCCCAUCAAGACAUAUCGUGGCAUCUGUAAGAAUGUCUCUCUCUCGAUCCCUAUCAAGCACCUUCGCUCCGAGCCCGUUGUGCUGGAGGUGGGGGAGGUUUUGGUAACUCUAAAGGGUGCGCAUGCCGGUAGCAGUGAUGCAAGCGGUGCGGCACCGGUGGGCAGCAGCAGCGGCAGCGCCAAGCGGAACGUGAAGGCGGCUAAAUGGGCUGCAGUGGCUGCGGCAAAGGAGAAGGAGCUCGACGCCUUUGAGGCGGAGCGCAAGCGCCAGCGUGAGCAGGCGGAGCAGCAGCAGACAGCAACGCUGCCCACCUCCAGCAGCGAUGCGGCAGCACAGACGGGAAGAGGAGGCUUCUUUUCGCGACUCGGCGAGCUGGUGGUGAAUAACAUUAUCGUCAAGGUGGGUACGGUGCACAUCCGCUACGAGGAUGAAUCGACAGAGACGGUGCUGGGUGCGGUUCUAGGCGGCGUGCAGCUGCUGACAAUGAAUGAGUGCACGGCGCAACCUAUGUUCACCGACCCCUGCGGGCUGCAGCGGAUGUGGAAGCGGCUUGUGUUCAACGAUUUGCAGGUCUACUGCGAUGACCCGACCCGCGUGCGGGCGAACGCCGCGCUAGGCCGCACCUGGUUCUCUCGGAUCGACGACUGGCAACAGUGGUACCACCGCAUGCGGCAGCGCGUGCGGGAUGGCAAUGUCGCCUUGUCUACUGUCCUUGGCCCUGUGUCGGGCACUGUGGAUGCCAAGGUGGUCUUCAAGUUGUGUGUGCGCCAGCUGCUCGAGACACCGUUUGCGGAUGUGGCGGUGAAGUUGCAGUACUUGAUGGUCAACCUCACCCGCCCACAGUACACAAAACUGCUGCAGACCGCAAUGCUCUUCACCAACCAGGCCGAGGUGUCCCAACUGCAGAGAUCUCGGCCGCGUGUGCCGGUGCUGGGGCACGCGCGUGAGUGGUGGCAGUACGCCAUCUGCGCAGUACGCACCGUACUGCGGGAGCCGAAGCGGGAGAAGCUGCUCGCGCAGGUGUCGCAGGUGUGCAAGCCGGACUACCAAGUGCUCUACCGAGAUGUUGUGCGGCAGACGGAGAUGACGCCGGAGAAGAGGAAGGCCUACCGCUUUGUGACGCGGCUUAUGACCACUGAGGACAUGAAGGCGGGCCGCAAGUGCGUGUAUGCGCAGAUCGCGAAUGAGAUCCAGCUGAAGCGGAAGGAUAACGAGAUACGCAAGGCGGAGGAGAUGGCGAGGCAGCAUCUGACAAGCGUCGAGCAGCAGCAGCAGCAGCAGCAGCGAAAUCCGAAGCGCGCCUGGUUCAGCUGGCUGAGUCAGCGCAGCGGUGCGUCCUGCACACAUGCCACCGCUGCUCAGAGCGACACUGCAAAGGAAAUCGAGGCGGACGAGAAGCUGUUCAGGUCCAUCGAGCUUGAUUACGGGAUCAGCGCCGCAGACGCCGAGGCCGAUCAUACCGCGGCGGCCGACCUCAGCAGCGUCGGCAGCGGCAGCAGCUUGCCACCGUCUUAUUGCUGGCUGCGCGCAAGCUUCGACCUCCCGCUCACGAGCUACCGCAUUGACACGGAGAAGGAGGAGUCUAUUACCCUCAAACUGUUUCAGCUGCGCGGCGGAGUCUCGUCGUAUAACAAGCCAAACUCGCUGCUCUUCUUCUUUCGCACCCAGAACAUUACCUUGGCGAAUCCCACCUCCUCGCCUGCGGCGUUCGCCAGCACCAGGUCCAAGGCCGCCGCAAGCUCGUCAAGCGGCUGUGACACUUUGGUGCCCUACCUCAUCGAAGGUGUGCAGGUCGAUCGCCACGCCUGCAAGUCGAGCCCAAACGAGGUGCGCGUCGCCAUGCGGUCGCUCACGGACGUGGAUAGCGGCAAGCAUUUAUCGCCCGACGCACCGACGAUCUACGACGUGAUCAACGUCGACAGAAAGGGACGGCGCUUGUCCUCGCUGACGCCGGCGCCUCCGUCGGGCACUCGCGAUUCUAUCGGCAGCGGCAGCAGCGGCAGCGAGGAGGGCAAGCAAAGCACACAGCACGACUGCGCCACGCCGCUAUUCAGCAUCACGGGAUUCCUGAACCCGGUAGAGCAGCCGCUGCCCGACACGUCGGUGGACAUGGCCGUCAGGGUGCAGCUGCUCCCACUGCGCAUCGUGGCAGAUCCGCGCACCAUUGAGCAGCUGAUCCGCUUCUUUUCACCGCCGGCUGGGGUGGACGUGUCGGGCUUUGCCGAGUCCACCAAGCAGGCGGCGUCUGCUGUCGGGUCGGCAGCGACGCAUGAGGUGCGGGCUGCCAUGGCCAAGACCAAGGGGCUGUACGUGACGGUGGACGCAUCGGCACCGGUGCUCAUCCUCCCCAAGAGCCUUAGCGCAGAUGUCCAGGAGCCAGCCCUGUGCGUCUCCUUAGGUCGUGUGCUCUUCAAGGCGCGGCCCCUCUCUGAAACGGAGAAGAAGCGGCGACUGGAGGCCGCCGUUGCCAUCGCAAGCGGCAAGUCUGGCUUGUGUAGCAAGGCGCUGGCGCGGGUGGCCGCGGACGAUGAGCCCGGCAGCCUCACCAGCGCUGCGGCGGCCGAGGAGGCACUCUACUACUACCCGCACAAGGCGAGCUUCUCCAAGUUUUACCUCGAAUUGACAACACUGGAGCGGGCGAUGCGGCGGCCGCAGCAAGGCUUCUUCUUGGUGCCGGAGGUGUCAAUCGCGGCGGACGUGCUGCAGCGCAUUGAUGACUGCAAUACCGCUCGUGAGGCGGUGGUACUGCGGCUGAGGGUGCCGUCGCUGCGAGUGGCGUCUUCGGUGCACCAGAUCUACCUCGUCACCACCAUGAUGGAUGCCUGGCUCUCUAACCUACGAUUACCUGCCACUGCGUCCAGUCGCACGGGCUUGCCAGGAGACAACCGUAGUGGAGGCGGCCCUGGCGGCACGAGCAUGGCGGCGCCGUCACGGCUGAACAUGGAACUGCUACGCCGCAGGCCCGCUGCGUCGGAGUGCGGUGAAGCGCACCGCGGCGAUGCGGCGGCAAGUACAGGGGAUCACAGCAGCGCGGACGCAGCAGCCAGAGGUUCCUCAGAGUCGGGGUACGGCUCUAGGGCUGUGUCACAGGCUCCUUCAUCUCCUCCUGCCAAAGCAGGGAUGCUCAGCAGCAGCCCAAACAAAGACGCCGCCGCGCGCGCGACUCCAGCAGGCAGCACUGACCUGCCCGCAAUGCGUCUCGAGCUUCUCGUCGAACGCCUAGGGCUCGACUUGCACGACGACGACCCGAGCACGCACGCCGUGUCGCCACUGCCCGCUUUCCAGGUGGAGUGCGGGAGCGCCGAGCUCAUCUUGGCCGUGCGCAGCCUUCACAAGAAGAUGGUUCUCUGUCUGACGAAGCCGCACAUCGCUGCUGCUCGCGACACCGACUUUCCCAUUUUCUCUGGCGGCAGGGUGCGAGUGGACCUUCUCCUCUCGGAGGGCGAUGCCCCGACGGCCGUGGCGCUCAGCCUCGACUCUGUGCUGAACGUGUGCGUCGGUACACCGUGCGUCGAGCUACUGGAGACGGUUAUGGACAUGGUGCAACUCACUCUCUCCGCCAUGGAUAGCAGCUCCCGCGGCGUCGGUAACGGCGUAAACGCGAAGACUGCGGCGCUGGUGGCCGCCGCGACAGCGGAUCGUCCGGCGGACGGAGGUCUCUCUUACCUUGUGCCCACCACCAGGACCGCCUCCUCCAUGGCGGAUGACGGGGCCAUCACGCGUGACGACCUAGCGCCGUCGUGCUCGAGAAGCGUCGCCAGUCGUGUUAGUGACCUCGCGUAUCAAAUCGACCUUGUGCAGCAGCAGUGCUCGAUGCCGAACCGGCACGUGGCAGACGUCUUUGUGCGCAUUCCCGGGUCUAUCACCGUCACAUUGCUGAACCGCGCUCCCGGGAACGACAAGGAUGCGCCGUUCGCGUCGGCCAGCAUGCGCGCGGUGGAGCUGCGGCUGUCCAAGUACACGGUCACGAUGGACCUCUCGGGUCACGUCGGCGAGGUCGCAGCCAGCGUCCUGGCGUCAGUUGGCUUGGCAGAAGCCAACCGCACGCUGCUCGCCUAUCGGCCCCCCUCUGCGGACACGAAUGCUGGAGGCUGUGCUGCGGGGCCGUCGGAAUCGCCGUCGUCCGCAAAGCCGGCCGUCGUCGAUGCCGUAUCAGCGUCGCCAGCGACCAGUGGCAAAGCAGGAGAGGGCGACACUCACAGAAGCAGCUGCAGCCGCCCGCGGUCUACGAAGCGGCUCGACACGGAUGAGCCCGAUCAGAACGCGCACAUAUGCUUCAGCUUUCGCAAGAGUCGGCCGGUCAUGCCGGUCUUCGCCGAGGUGGAUGGAAAGCGGUCUCUGGUGAAUGCGCAGGAGCUGCGCUACUCUAGCGCGAUUGAGCUGCAUGUGGGGGCCAGCACCAUCACCGUCGACCUCCACACCGUCAUGAUCUUCAAGACGUACUUCACGGCAGGACUCUUUUCGCGCAUCAGUCGCUUGGCGGACCGCCCGGUGUACAAUGGCCGCACCCUGCCGCCAACUCGCGAGGGCCCGCGGCUGCUCAUGAGCAUGCGAGUGGUGGUUCGUGACACCCUCGUUGUCCUCCCGGUUGAUCCACGCGCCAGCGACAGCGCCACCCCUGCUGCCGCUGCCACAACCCAUCGCUUCUGCGCGUCCCUUGGCAGCCUGGCCCUGCAGAACAGCCUCCGCGCAACAGAGGGGCUGGAAGCCAUGAUCGUCUCUCUCGGCGAGGUGGGCAUGUGGCGCGAGGAGCUGCGUGCUUCGCCUUUGCGGUCUUCACAGCCGCGUGAGAGCAGCAGACCUCUGAAUGCGCCGCCGCCGGUCAGCAAGCGCUCCCCUCUUUUGCCCGCAGAGACGCACCUCGAGAUGGCUGUGCACACCGCGCUCGACCUUCAGUCGGAGGACCCGCCCCGCAUCGACAUCCGCAGCGAGGACGUGUCGCUGGAGCUGCGAGAGACGGACUUGGUGCAACUGGUCACUCUACUGCGCCAGAACCUGACCCGCGCAGACCCGGUCGAUAUCGCCGCCUAUGCGUUGGAGGCUGCCGAGGCGCGCCAGAUGGUGCUGGGCAAGAGCGGCGAGCCUGUCGCGGCGCAGGGAGACAGCACGAGCGUCCUGCGUGGUGGGGCGUCGUCUGCGGGGGUAGCAGCGAGGGCGAUUCACCGCGACAGCGGCGCUGAGGGCAACCGCAGUGGCGAUCUUUGUAUGUCGAUGCAUCUCGGCAGGAUAUCGAUGCUGCUUUCCGACGCAUGGGGAGAGGCGGCGAGCAACCCUAUCGACGCGUCGUCGUCUCGCUUCCAGCUGCAAAGCAUAGGCGUUUCGAUGUCGGUCGCACUGCCGUCCAACUGCGUGGGCGUGCGGUGGAAGAGUCUCGAGCUGGACGACGUGCGUGACAACAACCGCGCGGCGCUAGUGUGGUGUGAGGCGGGCUCGCUGCACUUCGCUGACUCGCUCACCACACACGGCAUUCUUAUGCGCGACUUCGGCGUCCGACGCACUGCCCUGCGCAGCGCCGACGCAGGGGUGGAGUCGAUGAUGGGCUCCGUGGGCUGCAGCGAUGCGAAGGACAGCGGCGGGCACAACAGCAGCAGCAGCAGCGUUGGCGCAUUGCCGGCCUCCUCCACGGGUGCCGCUGCUCGUGGCCUGAGCAGGCGCAGGCCUGUGGAGGCGAGCAGCGGUGAGGGCGACUCCCCGGCCAGCACGCAGCUUUUCACUAUGUCGGUGCUCUCGGCCGACUUCACUCUGCGCCGCUUCGCCGUCUCGGACCAGUGGUUGGCGCUUUCCGAUCUCGUGUGCAACGAGGCGGUACUUUCGGCGUGGACGGCAACUCAAAAAGGAAUGACGGCUUCCACCUGCGCAUUCCCACCGGCUGACUAUGCGGGAGGCAAAAGUGGAGGUGGUGGUGCAGCACCGAAGAGCGGGACUGCCGCCACGGGCAGCCGCAGCGGCAUGCGCGUCAUCGUCACCACCCCUAGCGUCGUUAUCCCGUUCCUGAACUCGCGACGCGAGACGCUCAUCGAGGCGCACAUCGGCGCCCUCCUCGCGGAUGUGGUGCAGCUGCCAACCGUGAAGCAGGUCGCUGUGAAGGUGCGCGAGCUCAGCGUGGUGGACGCCCGCUCAGGCGAGAAGAUUCUCUGCAAGCGUUCCUCCUGCGGACGGCCGUCCUCUACCCGUGUCGCCGCCGGCAACGCCCUUGCGCCGGCCCCGGCGACUCAAAGUGACUGGGGGGACGAAUGGGAGGAGGCGGACCUGCCGUCCUCGCCGCUGAUCGCGAGCGGCGGUGGCGCUGCGGCCGAGAGUGCAAGCAGCGCGCCCGGCGCCUGGGCCUCGGCCACCGCCGAGCCCGGCCAGGCCGAGGUGCUUCAAUUCACGUUCAAGUCGGACCCGGUGGCGAACAUCAACAAGAUUCAGCUCGGAAUCGGCGAGCUGCACGCGCUGGCGUCGAUGCCCAUCAUACAGGGGCUGGCCGACUACUUUGCCUCUCCGGCGGAGCCGGUGGCGAAGAUCGCGAGCCUUGGCGUGAUGCGGGAGCAGCGGGCCCGCAUGGCGGCGGCCGCCCAGCAAAUGGCUGACUCCUCUCUCCUUGUGCUGAACGUCCUGUGGCAGCAGCCACGCAUCAUCCUCGCUGGCGACGCGAUGCAGCUGCGACGGCGGUCUGGAAAUCUGGAGAUGCGGCUCGGCGUCAUGCGGGCCGCGGUGCGAAUGAACUCCAGCGCUGCGUCGCUGUCGGUGGUGGUGAAGGUGCAGGAGUACAGCAUCCCCUCGUUGCUGAAGCGGUCAGCGCUGCACUUCGCGUACGAGGCGAACCGCGGGGUGGAGAUGAUCGACCUGCAGAUGAAGCGGACAACGGCGCUCUUCCACCCCGCGGAGGUAGAGCGACUUGUGCUCCUCGCGCAGCGUAAUGUGCUCAUGCCGCGCGACGUGAACUACUACGGCGCAUACGAGAAGGCGGUGGCGCAGCAGAGCGGCAACCCUGCCACACCCGCUGCCGCACCGAUGCCGGCUUCGGCACAGCAUCGGUCGGCCACACGCACACCGCGUGCGCCUCAGGCGGAGGGCAAGAAACGUGCCAACGUAGCCUCGUCGCCACCAACCCCCUCGCGGACUGUUAAGGUGCAUAUCGACGGCUUGCUGGUCGCUGUUCACGACCCCGCUGGUGUCAACACGCACACGCUCACGCUCGCGGCGCUGGACACCACCGUCUUGCCGAACGGCAGCGUUGCGCUUACUGUUCCGUCGCUCAGCAUGAUCGACCAGUCGACGGGCCGCUGCAUGCUGCAGAGCGAAACGGUGGGUUCUUCAGCAGGCUCCGGCGCAGGCAAUCGAACCGCGCACGCGGCGGCAUCAACAGCGGCCCCUGCGGGGAGCGGCAGCGGUGGCAAGGUGAGCACCGACGCAGCUGCCAACGCCAAGGGCGACGCUGCCGCCACCCCGGCCGAGGCAGCGCUGUGUGUGGCCUUCCAUCCUGUCGACCGAACGUCCGACGUCCAGCUCGGUGCGGUGCUUGUGACGUUUAUUCCACAAAGCAUCGGCACGCUCGUGAACACGCUCCUCUCGGUGCACAUCCCCGGCCCUGACGAACCGGACACCGCUGCCUCUUCCGCUGCCCAGCCGAUCUCUGCCGGCGCGACUGCACCAAGGAGCGGCAAAGGCGGCAAGAGUGCGACAGGCAGCACCGUCGCAGCCUCCGCCGCUGCCGUCGUGACGCAUACCUCGGCUAUGCCGUUCACCUUCAAGGCGGCACUGGUCGAGUGCCGUGUCCGUUUCUGCCAGGGCGACCGCGAGGUGGCCGUGCUGCACAUCGCGCGCAUUGCGUGCGGGUCGAAAUCGUACCCUAACGGCGCCAAUAAACUCACCGUGACGCUGGGCAGUCUCUUCAUGGUGGACAGCACCAGCGUGAACACGAACUACCGCACCGUUAUAUACCCGUAUGAGGACACCGAGGCUGGCGACGCGCCGGGCCCAGGCGCGAAUCCGGCAGGCAGCGCCGGUGCGGUGAUGCGCAGUCUGGUGGCACCGGUAGAUGCGCUGGUGACUUACGAGGUGAAGACGAGUGCGCCGCCCGCCACCAAGCUCACAGCAAAGUCAGCAGGUGCCAACGCCGCUGAGUCGACAGCGCCGACGUACACGCGCCACAUGAAGUGCCGCGUGGGCAGUCUCUUCUUCGUUCUGGUGCCUGAUGUGGUGCGCACCGUUGUGGGCGUCGUGCGCGAGGCGCAGGCACACAUCUCCGACGGUAAUCGUGAUAAGGCCUACACCUACGUCUCGGACCGCGCCGCGGAGUCGAUGCGGCGCAGAAGCGAGGCAGAGCAGCUGAUGGAGAUCGAUGUGAUAGUGCGCCGUCCGCAGGCGUUUAUGGUCGACAAGCCCACUGCCACCAUGGGUGUGCUGCUCUCGCCCGGCAGCCUGACUGUGAGGAGUCAGCUGGUGCUUCCUAGUGACACCACCGCCGGGAAGAAAGCGGACGCGACAGCGAGCGCCGCCCCCUCUGCGACGCCGCCACAACUCACGGAGCCAGAGGCGAAGCUGGCGGCGAUGCCACGUGAGGUGUUUGCUGUGCAGGUGCGCACGAUGGGGAUGCUGCUGCGGGGUGCCAGCUGCUUUCAGAAAGACUGCAACAUAUUUGUGCAGUUUCAGCGCGCGCUGCCGGCUCUGAUGGACUCUUCCACAGCUGCGGCGGUGGCAGUGGCCACGUCGACCGGUGCCGCCAAAGUGAAGGAGGGGCAGACGGCGAAAGGGGACGCAGGGGACGGAAGCGACGGAGCGGCUGUACAGCUGCAAUCGAUGCUGAAGGUGGAUGUGCCGAUGCUCUCCAUGAUGCUCACUCACGAGCAGACGGACUUUGCUAUGAUCGUUCUUGGAGCGUUGCUAAACGGGACGGAGAUCGAUCGUACCCCUGCGACGACGACGACGAGCGCCCCAGUCGAUGGACGUUCCAGCGCGCGCAACGCGGUGGCGUCCUCGCCGUCAGAAGAGAAGACUGGUGGGCAGAACCGCGGCGGCGGCUCUGCGCCGGGAUUACAUAUACCGCAGCCGCCACCGAACUUGAGCUGCACAACUUCUGGCGGUGCGGGGCCUCAGACGACGGCUGCGUCAGGGGCCAGGUCAGGCUCGCAAAGAGGCAGCACGACGGCUGGGGCUUCCUCGUCGGCGGUAGCCAGGCCGCCGUCUCCGGCAGCGCAGUCCGUGCCGCAUUUCUACACGCCUACGGAGGGGUCCCCGAUUACGUCCUUCACCCUCAUCGCCCACAUCGGUUUCCUGCAAGCCGAGGUGGCCGAUCUGUUCCGCCUGCGCGUCGAGGAGGCGCGAGUGCUCAGCACCGACGUGACCACCACCGGCAAGAUGACGGAUGUCCAGGUCGACUCCAUCUAUGUGCAGCACGUCGGCGCCGAGGUGGAGGCGCCGCAGCCGGUGGACGCAGGGGUGCCGCCGUCGUCGCAGCUCGGCAAAGGGCCGCAGGCCGGCGCUCCUCGCACCUCGCGCAUUCAAGAGCUGGUUGACGUCCUCACUGUGACGAAGCUGCACAUGCUCUCUGUGCAGCCGCAGCCCGUCAUCGAUGUGGACGCUGGCUCCAGCAUGGUCGAGAACACCAUUAGCGUCUCCGCUGCUAUCUUCAACGUGGCCAUCUCGCCGACGAUUCUCUUCGACACACGCGAGGUGCUCUACCUACCCUUCUGCUACAAGGUGCUGCGCGUGCCCAUCGAUCCGAUUCCGAUCCUCAGUCUCAUGGAUGAGACAACCACGCUGCAGGAGGAUGUGGUGCUGGAUAACAAGCAUGUGCUGUUGACAGCGAGCCGCACGCGGUGCUGCUACGUGCUGGACCUCAAUAAUCACAAGCUUGUGUUCACUGAUGCCCCGUCUGGCCAGAUUGUCUUGUGCGAAGGUUGCGAGCUGACCAUCACCAACGGCACCGUUCAUAUCCCGGGCAUGUACACGAUCGGCUCGUACGUGAGUUUUGCGCCGUCGACGGCGCUCUUCACAACCGACAGUGUGCGCUUUAAGAAGGAGUUCUUGAACCUGUCGAACACGGCUUUCUACCGCCCUUUCCUGUCUCGACCAAUGGGAUCGCCUGGCGGUGGCGUGGCGCGGCGCGGUAGCCCAGGCAGUCCGCAGUCACCUGUAAGCGCGCGCGCCUCCAGCACCGCGGCACUGACAGAGAUCUCGUCGAUGGACACCCUGGUAAAGUCAGCGGCGCCACGCGUGCCGCAUAGCACUGCCAUCGAGCUGCACGACCGCACCGUUCGACUGCUGGCCACCUUCUACUGCGACACGAUGGAGGUGCAGAUGCUCUCGGAGGAGGUGGUGGAUCUUUCCGUAGCACUGUGCAUGCAGUGCCGCAUAAAAUUUGCACAGGACAACGAAAACGAGCAGCCGGCGCGGCGGACCGUGUCGGUGCAGCUGCUCAACGUCCGCUCGGGCGAGGAGGAAGAGCACAUUUUGUUGCCGACGGACAUGGUGAUGAACGUGAGCGGGGUGGAGAAUGUGAGCGUGUCGGUAGUGCUGGAUUCGAUCGAGUUCUGCACUCGUGCGACGCUGUUGCGGUCGCUUGUGGAGCUUGGCAAAGAUUUCGGCGCCGCCUUCAUUGAGGAGACGACCGUCUCGCGUGUGACGCCGCGCAUCGAGUACGAGACCGAGUCGCUUGACCCGCUGGUGCCGGUGCUGGAGGCUGGCGAGUGCCAGCACUGUGGCCAACGCGAUGCCUACCUGGCGCCGGCAUCGAACAGGCCCGGCAUCUUGUGCUACAAGUGCUGCACCGGCCACGAUCACGUCCCGGCGAUGAACUUCUGGGUUGAGGUGCCGCUGAUCGACGGCAUUGUCUUCGGGUCCAAGAGCGACAUGGCCCAUGUUUUUAUGCGGAACGUGCUGCUCUCCGUCGACCCCUCCAUGGACCUGCAACUCACGCUGCGCGCAUCGCUGUACGGUUUCAGCAACACCGCGGCGGUCUGGGAGCCUUUGGUUGAGCACUUCGACGCCAACAUCUCUGGAAGCGUCAAGGCGCACGACUACACGGUGCGCACGGAUCGGUUCGACUACGUGGUGUCACCGCAGAACAUCCGCCUGCUGAGCGGGAUGGCGGCCGAUUACGGCGCCGCCACGGCGCUGCAGAAACAGCUGCGCAAGCGGUUUCGUGGGCAGAAGCAGCUACGCACGCAGCAGACGGCGCCGAGCCAGGGCAUGCCCAUGUACGUUGACGCCUCCUUCCUCGACGAGGCGGCGUGGCUGCAGCAGCAGGAAGGGCGAGAGGGCGGCUUUCAGGAUGCGAACACGGCAGCGGAGCUGAGUCCGUUCUGCCCACUAAGUGCCGCUGCGGACUUGUCAGCGGAAUUCAGCGGCGCGACGGCGGGCAUGGUGAACAUGUCCAUCUUUGACGCCCUCUCAGCGGCGAACCGGCGGCUGAUCGGCGCCGCUGCGGCUCGGCAGCCGAAGCGCGUGUAUGCGCAUGUGUACGUGACGAACAACUGCAACGUUAUACUCUCAGUUGGCGACCGUCGCGUCACGCCCCGCGGCGGCACGCUGCGCUUCGCGGCCAGUGAGCCAUCCGUGACGAUCCGCCGCGAGGCAAAGCCAGACGAGCCGCAGUACGAGGGUUACGCCACCAGCCUCUCCAACCCGCCCCUGUACGUGCAAACCAAGGACAUGGUACUAGAGACGAGAGUGGUGCUGAGCCAGGAAGAGGGUGCGCGCCACCUGCGUCGCACGGUUACGAUGGUUGUCUAUCCACUGCACGUCUCGCGCACGAUCAUCUGUUUCGAGAACCGACUGAGCUGUUCGUUGGCGUCUACGUCCAACAACCCACCUGUGCGGCCGGGGGAGCGCUUCUACGUGGCACCAACGGUCGACCUCAACACCUCUAUCUUGGUGCAGCCCGUGAACACACCGGACCGGGUCGAGUACGAAGCUGGCAAGCCCGUAGCAGAGGCGCUGAGCGGCCGCGUCUCGCGCGGCCCGUCAACAAUGCCCACGGUGCAAGAGGUGCUCUGCGGCGCGCCUCUCAUUGUGUGCUGCAAGGCCAAGACAGCCGCUACCAAGUCCAUGACACUUGUCGUCUACGUGCGGCAAGAGGAGAUGCGUGGCGGGGUGCCGACCUUUGUUAUCACCAUCGAGUCGCGCUUCCGCCUGCGCAACAAGUUACCGUACCGGCUCAUCGUGAAUGUCAUCCCAGACGCUGGCGGGUUGCUGGCAAAGGGAAAGAUGACGUCGCGGCCGGUGCAGCCACUCGCGAGUACCGUGCUGGAGGUGCGCCAGAGCGCCGACCUGGGGCUGAACGGCUACACCUUGAACCAGGUUGCGUUCAUGCUAGAGGUGCGGCAGCGUGGCCGUCGAACCGCGGUCGCCGACGCGGCUGCUCUCUCUGCAUCAUCAUUGCACAAGGGGCAGCAGGAAGAGGCGGAAGAAGAGGAGGUCUUCUCCACGCUGACGCCCGUCGCCGUGUCGCCGGACAAGCCGUUCGUCAUUCUGCGCUCGCAGUACCGUCGUCAGCUCGUUAUUCGCGCAUCUCUUGUCACCAAUAACUGCUCCAUCAUGUUCUCCACGCCGUAUGUUCUACUGAACCACUCGCCGAUCCCGCUGACGCUGCGGGAGUGCACGCGGAGCGGGGAGAACCGGCUGUACGAAGCCGAGCCCAACUACAGCGUCCUGAACGCCGAGAUGAACGCGAGCAUCGCUGCCUGCCCGAUGGACAUCCGCAAGAGCGAGGACUUUUUUGUGAACCUCUACCAUAAGGAGUACCGCGGCGCCUGCGUCCCCCUGCACGCACAGCAGCGCGGUGUGGUCAUCAUGCAGCACUGCAGCGCCAAGGCGGGCGACAAACAAAAGUUGCCCCCGGCCGCCAGCAGUAGCAGCAAGAAGAAGGGCACGGCGCCGUCUGCGCAUACACCCGGCCCGACGGUGAUUCAUCUUGCCUACUCUUCCCAGGUGGACCCGAAUGGGUCGGUGUUGGUCACCAUCACACCGCGGUGGGUCCUUGUGAACCGCAGCCACCUGCACUUAUACGCCGCCCCGUCCACGUACAGUGGCAUCACGGCGAGAGAGGCGGCGGCGGUCACGGAGGUCAUGGUGGCGGCCCAGCAGAAGCACUCUAAGGCAGGGGACGGCGAUGUGCCGCCGCCGACGGGGGCGCCGAUGCCGCAGCAAGACAUGGACGCCAUGAAGCAUGCUUUGCAGGAAAUGGUGACGGAGGACAGAAUCGUUUUCCUCUCUGACGCCCCAACGCAGGUGAUGGCGCUGCCUCCGCAUAGCGCCACUCCACUUCUCGAGACCCCCUUGUGCGGGCCGGAGAUCGGCUACAAUCUUCACAUCUUGCAGAGCCCGCUUGCUCCGCUCUACGGCACCCCGAUAGGGAUUGAGAGCAUUCACAACGAGCUCAUCAUAGCGUACAAGCCUCUUGCAGACACCAGCGACCGCGCAGCCGGUCUGGAUGUCCGUGGCGCCAGUGGCAUCGGUGACAGCCGUGGCCCCCUGCAGCAGCGCGACCGCUUCCUCGAGGUGUCGAUUACGGCGCGGGGCUCCUACACCUACGUCGUGUUAGAGCCGCCGGUGCACGCGCCGUACCUGCUGCUCAACCGUACCGGCUACACUAUCAACGUGCGGGACACCGCGGCGAAGAGCAAGGGCCGGCUCAUGGCGCACGCUAUCCCUGGCCACGGCACGGAGCUGUUCCUCGACAACACUGUCACGACGCUGAUCCAGCUGGAGCUCCUCAGCUCCGACGGCCGUCGCCAGCUACACGAGGUGUCCUUCGACGUUGGUCGAUCUAUGACGCCGCAAGAGAUGAACACUGCCUCCGCGUCGGCUGAGGGCGUGCUCUACACACUCGGCUUUGGCGGCAACGGCCAGCAGAUCAUCGAGAUCACGCCGGCAAAGGCGGCCCUGCCCAUCGCCUACGUAGGCGUCGCGGCGCCGCCCAUUCCGAUCAACGUACUGCUCAACAUGGCCGUCAUGACGCUGUCGGUGGUGAUGCCGAGCAUGGAUGUCUUGUUCUGCGCUGUCACGGACGUGCGCUUCAGCUGGGACCGUCAGAAGGACCGCGAGAUGACGAAGUUCAGCAUCGAGAACUUUCAGGUGGACAACCAGACGGAGGUGUCACCGCGGUACGACUCGUGCCUCCUGUCGCUGCGCACGUCCAAGUCCACGGCGGCCGCCUCCGGCUACCUGGAGCGCAUCCUGGUGCCCGCCAAGGGCCUCAUCUGCCUAGAGGAGGUGCGGCUCGACGUGGUACCGCUGGCGCUGCGCGUUUCCGACACGCUUCUUGUGGCGAUCGCGGGCUUUGUGCGGGCGGUGCGCAGCGGCGAAGAUGCGCCGCACUCGAUGCAGUCAAACCAGAGUAUCGUAGCCGGCAACGUGACCACGGUUGCCUUGCAGGAGGCCGCCGCCGCCGCCUACGAGCGUUGCCCGACACCGGCAACGCUGUUUCGGAAGGCUCCCGUGCAGAUCGACAUCUGGGCCUCGCGGCUCACGCUGGAGCGCUUCAUUGUGAACCCUAUCGUUGUCCGUGUCUGGCUGACCCGCGACGUGGACGAGCACGACUUCUUUCGUGAGAACAUCAACUCGAAGGAUGCGGCGCUGCUGUCCAUGAUGCUGCAGUCGUGCGAGGAUGUCACGGUGGCGGCGCCGGGCAUUGUCACGGCGAAGCAGACCAGCCGACUCGGCAUUUUCGCUCAGUGGGUGGGCAAGACCUACACGGACAGGCUGCUUGCCCAGCUGAAGGGACUCCUGCUGCAGUACGCGUCGUCGCUGCCGAUGAUUGGUGCGCCGCUCAAGCUCGCCUCCGGGUUCGGCAACGGCGCUGUUCGCCUCUUCCGUGAACCGAUCGAGGGCCUCUCGACGUCGCCGUCGGCCUUCGCGACAGGGCUGGCGCGCGGCUCUGCCGGCUUCGCGCAGGAGUUUGCCGGUGGUGGCCUCGGCGCCGUCUCGAACAUCACGGCCUCGUGGUCGCGGCUGCUCAGCAUGGGCGGCGGUGUCUCAGAGCGAGAGCGGCGCAAGCAGAACGUCUUCACGGGAUUCGCAAGCGGCAUCAAGGGGGUGGUUCAGCGUCCGAUGGAGGGCGCGGCGGAGUCGGGUGCUGCCGGGCUCCUCAAGGGCACGGCGCAAGGCUUGGUUGGCGUGCUGGCAAACCCUAUGUCGGGGUUGCUCUCGGAUAUGUCGCGGGCAACGGGCACCUUGGCGAAGCUCGUCACGGACACCUACAUUCCGAAGACGCGGCGGUUGCGGCCGAUCCGUGACUUCCACGCCAACGGCGGCGUCGCCCCCUGGCGGUCUCUGGCGUCGGUCUACCAGUAUCAGCGCAUCCAGGGCAGCACUGGCACCUGGUCAGGCGAUCAUCUCAUCUCCAGCGUCGACGGCCCAGAGUGGUACCCGUCGCAGCGCGAGAAGGCCACGUACGGCAAGAACAAGACACCCAUCCCGGAGGACCGGUGGACGCUGGACCGCUACAACACCAACUUCAUGGGCUGGACGUACAGCACCAAGUACUACGGCAUCUACACGGACCGGCUGACAGACGAGGUGCGGGUGCGGCGCAUGCGAUGGACGGCGCUGAUCCGGCCGCUGCCGUACUCGCGCGUUGCUUUCUACCUACGCGUGUGCCCUGGUAUGGAGACGCAGCACCGCCGCACGCCAUCGUCCGCCUUCGCCAGGACCAUCACGAUGCCGCAGGAGAGCACGAUCGGGUUUACGUCGCCUGGUAUGCUGCAGGCGACGACGGUGGAGCAGUUACAGGCGCGCAAGAGUCGGGCGCUCGGCCCGCGAUCCUCCAGCCACAUACGGAGCAGCAGCGGCAGUAAGGUUGGCGUCACUUGGCCUUGGGAGAGGUCGUCCUCGAAGUCGCAGCGCGCCAACUCCGAGUUCUUUGCUGAAGAGGAGUACAUGGAGAAGGCGCAGACGAUUCACGAACUCUUGCGCAGCUGGACGGCUGUGGGUCGAAACGUUGGCGUGAAAGGCUCGAUCCUGCGCAGCCACUCUGGCAUGCUCGAAGACGACGACGACAAGGCCGACGAGGAGAUGCCAGACGCGGGCCAGUCGAUCACCGGCGUGAGCGAGUCACCUGCCAUUGGCGCUGGCGGUAGCGCCUCGCGGAAUGCGACGGCCGUGGCUGGCCGCAGCACGAGUGCGUCACGCGACAAGCAAAUUAAGAUGUCGAGGCAUUCGCGCAGCAACUCGGAGCUCGAGGCGCUUGCGUCGCCGAGGAUGCCGAACAGCAGCCACCAGUGCACAGGGGACGGCGACAAGCGCCGCUCUCACAGCCGGAGCAAGCGGGACAAGAGGGCCGAGUCUGCCGCCGCAGCAUCGGCUGAGGAGUCGGCGGGCUCCAUGGUGCCGGCCCCCAACCUCUACGUCCGCAGCGCCAGUGGAAAGAUGCUGCCGGUAGACACGGUCAGCACCGUGGCUCCGGUUCCUGGCGCGUCGUCGACCCCGUUGCCGCGCACGGCAAGUAACGCGAGCGCGCCACCGCCGAGCACGGUUGUCGAGGUGUACGAGUACGAGAAGAAGGUGUCGUUACUGGGGUGGGGAAAGCGGUACCUACCGUCCGACUGCCCCGCGUGGCAGGAUGUGCACGGCCACGAGGUGCCGAGCCGGCAUGAUAUACGCGCGCCGGCGGGGUGGGUCUGGACGACCGAAUGGACCGUCAUCGGUGGCGACCGCGACGGCUGGACGAUUGUGAGCAAGGGGGAGCGCAAUCUGCGGCGUCGCAUGUGGCAGAGGCGUCUGCUGAAGCAGGUCGCUUCGCCGCCGCCACACAAGUAAGGGGGCAGGCAAGCAAGGAAGGUCAGGUGAGGGCGUCUACCUAACUACCGGGAAAGGCUGCAGCCGCAUGUCGGUGGCACCCCAGACGUGUUUUGCUUUGGUGCUCUCCUCCUCUUCCUCCUCUCGGCAUUGCUUUUUCUUUAUCUGUUGCUGGGCUGGUGGUGGGGGUGCCAUCUGAGGAUGGGCGCGAGCGCGUGAGUGUCUGUGUGCGCCGUGGGCUGAAGGGCGUUUGCCUCGCCCCCGACGUACUGUAUCGCUGCCUAUCCCGCUAUCUGUGUGCGCGCACACACACGCAAC
rnacentral:misc_RNA from 1 species